UACGAAGGGGGCUAGCGUUGCUCGGAAUCACUGGGCGUAAAGCGCACGUAGGCGGCUUCUUAAGUCGGUGGUGAAAUCCUGGAGCUCAACUCCAGAACUGCCUUCGAUACUGAGAGUCUCGAGUCCGGGAGAGGUGAGUGGAACUGCGAGUGUAGAGGUGAAAUUCGUAGAUAUUCGCAGGAACACCAGUGGCGAAGGCGGCUUACUGGUCCAUAACUGACGCUGAGGUGCGAAAGCGUGGGGAGCAAACAGG
rnacentral:rRNA from 1 species